rnacentral:rRNA from 1 species
UAGGGGAUAUUGCACAAUGGGCGGAAGCCUGAUGCAGCAACGCCGCGUGAGUGAUGAAGGCCCUCGGGUCGUAAAACUCUUUUCAAGAGGAAGAGGAAGGACGGUACUCUUGGAAUAAGCCUCGGCUAACUACGUGCCAGCAGCCGCGGUAAUACGUAGGAGGCGAGCGUUAUUCGGAUUUACUGGGCGUAAAGCGCGUGUAGGCGGCUGAUCAAGUUGGAUGUGAAAGCUCCCGGCUUAACUGGGAGAGGACGUUCAAAACUGAACAGCUUGAGGAUGAGAGAGGAAAAUAGAAUUCCUGGUGUAGUGGUGAAAUGCGUAGAUAUCCGGAGGAACACCAGUGGCGAAUGCAGUUUUCUGGCUAAAGACUGACGCUCAGACGCGAAAGCUAGGGUAGCAAAC